rnacentral:rRNA from 1 species
UACGUAGGGUGCGAGCGUUGUCCGGAAUUAUUGGGCGUAAAGGGCUCGUAGGCGGUUUGUCGCGUCGGGAGUGAAAACUCAGGGCUUAACCCUGAGCCUGCUUCCGAUACGGGCAGACUAGAGGUAUGCAGGGGAGAACGGAAUUCCUGGUGUAGCGGUGAAAUGCGCAGAUAUCAGGAGGAACACCGGUGGCGAAGGCGGUUCUCUGGGCAUUAACUGACGCUGAGGAGCGAAAGCGUGGGGAGCGAACAGG